AAAAGUGGGCGUUUGGUGGAAUAGAUCGAGGGACGGGAAGGUGUUUUUUUUUUGAAGUAGUUGAGGAUAGAAAGAAAGAAACUUUAUUGGACGUAAUCGAAAGAAAUAUUUUGCCAGGUACAACUAUUAUAUCUGACUGUUGGAAGUCCUAUAAUUGUCUGUCUGAUCAUGGGUUCGUUCACCUUUCUGUAAAUCAUGCACUCACAUUUAAAGAUCCACAAACGGGAGCUCAUAUAAAUAAUAUUGAAGGCAUGUGGGGUGUGGUGAAGAGAGAUUUUCGAAAAAAGUGUCAUUGACAGUCGGGAACUACACAGGAUAUUUUUGACUCGUAUUUUUGCGAAUUUAUAUGAUGACGUCGAUAUACAGAUUCGAGUUCAGAUAAUUUUAGGAAGUUUUUGGAUGCUGUUAAGGAAUUUUGUGUGCCACAGACUAAAGACGAAGGAAUUUCUAAAUAGGGAUACAUAUUUGUCUCCAAAAUUAUGGAUGAAUGAUAUUGUACUGCUAUCGAAGUUUAUGAAACAAAGUUAAAAUACUGGAUUAUGAUGGAUAUGGAUUCAGAGAUAAACAACAAAUCAGGCUCUGUUACUAGGUAACAUAGAUUCUGCAAAAGUGCAUGCAAGGAGUACAGUUGCAAAACAAAAUCUUGCACUUGAAUGCCUGAAUACCAUGGAUUUGAAUAGAGUCAAAAAUAAAAUACACAUCAGUGAAGUUUUGACGAAGGAUCCCAGAUGCCAUCGUGAAGUACUGCAAGGACAGGAUUUCUCUUGUUUCUGUCAGGCAUUCCAAAAAAGCGAGAUGAGACAGUGUUUCAACAUCUGUGGCAAGUUCCUGGAGUGUUUUCGUGGGCUUCUGUGGGCAGGAUUUUAAUUGAAGCCUGCUGUAGUCUUUCAAAUAUUUCUCCCCAAAGCACAGCUUCAACUCACUGGAUAAAGCUUCGAAAUCUAGUCUGGUUUUCUGGAAGAGUUUGAAGAAUAUCCGCAGCAUCUGCUCUCAGAGAAGCGGCAAGAUAUCAGGCACUAGCUUGGGAAUCCCAUCUAUUCGCAUCUGCUAGUAUAGAAAAUUGUGUGUUAUAUACUUGUGAUUAUAAUUAAAGUAAUGAUAAUUAAAAUUAUGUUUUUCUGAAAACAUUAAAUUAGAACAUUUCCCGUUCCAAUUUCUGUUGUGUUUUAAAUACCAUUACAUGUCAUUUUGGUGAUUUUUGAAUAAUCACCAUCAUAUGUAGAUAGCUUCAGAGAUGGAUGUCCAGGCAUGGCUAAAAAUUUAAAACUAUCGCUAUUAUUCCCUGCUGUCAGUAUGAAUUUCUUCAAAGUAUAAACUUCUUUGGCGACCGCAGUAACCCUGUCAUAAAUUUAUUGUUCCAUGGCAGAACUCUCUCUUCUGUUUCUUCUUUUACAGAAGAAACUCUUUCUUCCAUUUGUUCUUUUACUGAAGAAACUCAUUUAUUCAGUGUGUCCAACUUUAUUUUCAACAGCAUCAACUCUUCCUUGCAUAGCAUUCAUUAAUGUAUAAUGCAUUGCAUGUAAUUAUUGUUACAGCUAACAUAGUAGUCAAUUAUAUUUAUUCAAUUCCAAUACAAAUUAAAGAUAUACCUAUUUAUUAAAUGUUAAAUGC